UGUGAAGUACAUUGUAAUAGUAAAAGUACAUAGAUAAAAACAACCAUGAACAAACUUAUAAAUCAAGAUAAUCCUUAAGAAUACCUUAAGAUAGCCUAGACUAUGCAUCUUGUCUCUUCAAGCUUCCCACUAAAAGCUUGAAGGAUUGCAAAGGUUGAAUGACUUUAAAAUAUAUGAAGAUCAACAAACCUACAUCCACCAAACUAAGAGGCUCCCUAGCAAGUUACUGGAAAAAGUAAAAUCUUGAACCAAACAAACAUCGCAUGUGAAGCUAGCAUCUACAUCUUCCCUCACUUUUGGCAAG
rnacentral:lncRNA from 1 species